rnacentral:rRNA from 1 species
CAGUCGCCACGGUAAUACGGAGGUCCCGAGCGUUGUUCGGAAUCACUGGGCGUAAAGGGAGCGUAGGCGGCGUGGUAAGUCAGAUGUGAAAUCCCGGGGCUCAACCCCGGAACUGCAUCCGAUACUGCCAUGCUAGAGGAUUGGAGAGGUAGCUGGAAUUCUUGGUGUAGCAGUGAAAUGCGUGGAGAUCAAGAGGAACACUCGUGGCGAAAGCGAGCUACUGGACAAUAACUGACGCUGAGGCUCGAAGGCCAGGGUAGCGAAAGGGAUUAGAUACCCCAGUAGUCCCUGUCUCUUAUAC